rnacentral:rRNA from 1 species
UACGUAGGGCGCAAGCGUUGUCCGGAUUCACUGGGUGUAAAGGGUGCGCAGGCGGAUCGGCAAGUCAGAGGUGAAAUCUUACAGCUUAACUGUGAAACUGCCUUUGAUACUGCUGAUCUUGAGUUCGGGAGAGGUUGAUGGAAUUCUAGGUGUAGCGGUGAAAUGCGUAGAUAUCUAGAAGAACACCAGUGGCGAAGGCGGUCAACUGGCCCGCAACUGACGCUCAUGCACGAAAGCGUGGGGAUCAAACAGG